rnacentral:rRNA from 1 species
UACGGGGGGGGCAAGCGUUGUUCGGAAUUACUGGGCGUAAAGGGCUCGUAGGUGGCCAACUAAGUCAGACGUGAAAUCCCUCGGCUUAACCGGGGAACUGCGUCUGAUACUGGAUGGCUUGAGUUUGGGAGAGGGACGCGGAAUUCCAGGUGUAGCGGUGAAGUGCGUAGAUAUCUGGAGGAACACCGGUGGCGAAGGCGGCGUCCUGGACCAACACUGACACUGAUGAGCGAAAGCCAGGGGAGCAAACGGG